rnacentral:rRNA from 1 species
GAUGAACGCUGGCGGCGUGCUUUAACACAUGCAAGUCGAACGGGAAACAUUUUAUUGGAGCUUCGGCAGAUUUAGCUUGUUUCCAGUGGCGGACGGGUGAGUAAACGCGUGGGUAACCUGCCUCACACUGGGGGAUAACAGUCAGAAAUGACUGCUAAUACCGCAUAAGCGCACGGGACCGCAUGGUUUUGUGUGAAAAAACUCCGGUGGUGUGAGAUGGACCCGCGUUGGAU